rnacentral:lncRNA from 1 species
GGUGGGUCUGUUCAAGUGGCUAAGCAAGUAAUUGAAACCAUAGAUAAUGUGAAUUUGUUAACCGUCUACAAAGUGAUCGAAGGAGAUGUGUUGAAGGAAUAUAAGAGUUUCAAGUUGACCGUUCAAGCUACACCUAAAGGAGAGGGCAGUGUGGUUCGUUGGACCUUAGAAUAUGAAAAGAUCCAUGAGAAUAUACAAGAUCCUUACUCCUUGCUAGAGUUUAUUGUCCAAUUUAGUAAGGAUGUUUCUGCUCAUCUCGUGAAAUGUCCGAAGAAAUGAUCACGAACACGUUAUGCUUUAAUAUGUGAUUUGCAUAAUAAUUAAAUAAGUGCUCUAUAAUGAAGCACCAAUGACAAACAUAUUUGUGUAUGAACUUAUAUCUACAAUGUAUUACAUCUUAAAACUAUGUUUGUGUUUUUUUUAAUGAUUAUGCUUCCUUUAUUAAUAUCUAUCUAAAUUUUUAAUGUCCGAUUGAUGUUGAUUCGUCUUGAUUUAAAUCUAUUUUUUUAAUUUUUUAUUAUAAAAAAUUAAAAAUUCAAAGCGAACUCUAACAACUUAAAAUUUAACAUAGAAUGAAAAAUACUCAUGAAAACUUAUCGACAUAAAUUAUGAUAUUCAUAUCCAGAAAUCUCUUCACCGGCUGUUUUCUCUGUUUCAAACAAUGAUUAGUAGCAUCAAAUCUAAUUUUCCUAGAAUUUUCAAUCAAUUUUAAGUUUAUCAAGAUGUAUUGAAAAAUAAUUAAGUACGAUACGUAAAAUUAGAAGACUAUGAUCUUAUGAAGGCACACUGAUAUAUAUCAUAAUUUAGAGAAUGUAGCCUUUGUUUGUUUAUAAAGAAUAAAAUUUUUAAAAAUAUUUAUUAUGAAAAAUAUUUUUUAAGAAUAAAAAUAAUUUUUAAGAAAAUUUUUAUUUAUUAUUUAUAUUAAUAUAAAAAAAAUAAAAAUAUGCAGCAAUCGCACAGAUAUAUAUAUAUAUAUAUAUAUAUAUAUAUAUAUAUAUAUUGUUUAAAAUAAAAGAAGAAAAUAUAAAUUUAUUUUUAUUAGAAUGAGAUAUAUAAUUAUUUAAGGCAUUGUAACAUUUUCCAUCCCAUAACACAAACCCUAAUUGAAAUCACUCACAAUAGUCAAUGCUUCAUAAUUGAGUAGGAAAGAUCUCUAAACAUAUAUAUAUAUAUAUAUGACAACUAAGCUCAUGCAACUUCUAUAUAAGGAAAGCAAUGCCAAAGCAGAAACUCUCUCUCCACGUCUCCUUUUUCUUGAAAAGCAAAAAUGACUAUUGGGCAAAUUGGAGGCAGAUGUUGAGAUCAAUGCUCCAGCAGAUCAUUUCACUAUGUAUUUAGUUGCAGACCACACAUGUAUUCAAUAUUAGUCCCAAUAAAAUUGAUGGUUGUGAUCUCCAUGAAGGUGAAUAGGUAAGGAAUGCACUGUCGUUUGCUGGAGUUAUUCUCAUGGUAAGCCUUAAAUCUUCAAUUGAAACUUUCUUUAGCUUUUAUUUUAAUUUUUUUGUAAUUUUUAAAAAUUAUUAAUUAAGUAUUAAAAUGAAAAAUAAAUAGAUCUCGUAAAGUAGCUAAAAAGAUAAUUGAAGCCAUAAAUGAUGUGAACUUGUCAACCACCUUCAAAGUGAUUGAAGGAGAUCUAUUGAAGGAGUACAAAAGUUUCAAGUUGAUCAUUAAGCUACACCCAAGGGUGAGGGAAGUUUGAUGCAUUGGACUUUGAAAUAUGAAAAAAUCCCUGAGAAUAUACCAAAUCCUAAUACAUUAUUGGAACUACUUAUCCACUUAAGUAAAGAUAUUUCUGCUUAUCUCGUGGAAUGUCAAAAAGAAAUGAUCAUAGAUUAUGUUAUGUCAUAACACGUGAUAUUUCUUUUAAUAAUUAAAUAAGUGCUCUAUAAUGAAGCACAAGUGGCUGGGAUAUUUUGUUGCAGAAAAACUUGCCUAAAAUCUAUGUCAUGUGUUUGUGUUACUCUAUUAUUAUAUGUCUUUUAAUUUGAUAAAAUUAAAAAAUAGAGAUUAAAUCAUUUACUUUUUUUGAAAAAAAAUAAUUUAACAGCAUAAAGUAAGGAUUAAACUGUUAAUUUUAAAAUUUUAUGCGGUUAUAUAUUAAUUUUGACCUAAUUAUUUUAUAACAAGUAUUUGCAAUGGUCUCAUCCGUAGGAAAUUUGUAAUUAAUAUAUUUUAUUUAUUUUUAUAUAUUUAUUGUGUGUUGAGUAUAUUAUAAAAGGGUCCAACAUGCAAGUAAUAAUUCAAAAUUUGAAAAAUGUGAUCUAUUAUUUUGUCCCAAUUUGCAUGCAUAGAAGAUUUACUCCAAACGGAAAUAAGAUAAUUUGCAUGCAUAGAAGAUUUACUCCAAACGGAAAUAAGAUUUUUUUCCAUGGAAUUUUUUUUUUUUUUACAUUCCAGAGAAAAAAAUUACAAUUAAACAAUUAGGCGUUUCAGAGAAUAGGCCUAUUAAUCUGAAGGCAAUAUUUCUCAAAAACACAAAUUUGCAACAAUCUCAGUAAAAGUGUUUGCGAACAUAGUGGUGUUACAUAACAUUAGUCCAAAAAAAGUUAUGAGUUGUCACUAUAGAAUAGGAAUCACGUGAUAAAAUUUAACAAGCAAAAAACGUUGUCUCACUAUAAGAGGAAACCCGGAUACUUUAACACGCAGACUAUCGUCAAUACUCGCCCUCCCAGGAUAGGCCGAGUCUUGACAGAGUUAAUGUUAUUAGGCACAUUUCUACUUUGUCAGAGAUCGUGGGAUUACUAAUCUAAUUAGCUGACGUUGUUCAUUAUUGAGCAGUCGGCCACAUUAUUGCUGAAUUUUCAAAAAACACUAUAUUUAUCUUCAUCCCUUACAGUAUAAAAUGAGAACGAUUUCAGAGAAAAUGUAUGCUAUUUCUAAUACUAUUCAAACUCUAAAUAAUCCUUCGCAUUCUCUAUGUUCUUCUAAACACUGAUUUCAGCAUCACAUAGACUGUCGUGGGCACCCACCACCACCUCACGUUUUCUCUUUUGUAGGUUCUAGCCAAUUACAGCUCAAUUCCAUUUCGACUACGUCAUCAAUCCAAUCUUAGCAACAUCAUUUGGUUCCAUUGUCGAGAAAGAUCCAUUAAACUCACUCCUGGAUCAGGCCCAGUUUCCUAUCGUCUUUCCUCACUCGAAAUGGCCGAAAACCCUACAGUUGCUGACAAUACCAUUACCAAUGAGGGGGUCAUCAUUUCCUCUAUCCCAAAUAACCGAGAGAACAUGCAUCCAGUGAUCAAUGAAGCAGACCUUAAUAAUUUGAAUAAUGAGCAGAUAAUCCAGUAUAUCUAAAGGUUGCAGGCCACUCUCGGGCAGUAUAAGACCUAAGAAGAGGCGUCUAAGAUGGACUCUAAAAGAAGAGAUGAGACUUCCGUAAACACCCCCAAAGCCAAGACGGAAGCACCUAAAAUGCGGCAUAAAGGUAUAACGACCCAAAAAUCGGACCGCUACCGGCGCUAGGAUCUUAAGGUCACCGGAACCCGUAGCAAGCCUAACAUACAUCCUGUAUACCUGCUAAAAUCCCAUACAUAAUCAUACAUUUUCAUAAAAACUUUAAAUUUUUCAUAUACCAAGCUUGACAUGUGCAUGCAUCAUAACUGUAUACAUAAAAUCCCUUACUGGAGCCCUCAUCAAAUGCUCUAGUUGGGUCAAUAUCUCAUACAUCAAGCUUGGUUCAACAUAUAUCAUCAUUAAAAAUAUUUCAUAAAGAUCAUGUACCAAAAGGGAUUAACCAUACAUUAGGGCCAAGCACAAUACUAAUCCGCAUUACAUUACUGAAUAAUACCUUACAUUACAUUACAUGUCAUUUCAUGUCCACUACUAAUCUAUUACAUGACAUAGCCAUUACCCUUGCUGACUUCAUGCUAUCUCUGACCCUGCAAACCUGGGGGUUAGGGGAAAAGGGUGAGCUACAAAAGCCCAGUGAGUAGAACAGUAAAACACAAUUUAAUAAAACACAUGCUUUUAUGAAAUGCGUCACAACACAAACAAUUCACAACAAGGAUGGACUUGUCACCAAUAACCCUCUACAUAAUCCAAUGUGCCCGACCCUCGACGGGGCUCCCCAGGACUUCCUCUUAAACAUAAUAUAAUGCUAGGACGCAUGGCAUGGGCAGCCCUGGACUUUCUUACAUACCAUAUCAUAUCAUAUUGAGGGCUAGUGGGUCAUCCAAUAUCCAUCCACAACAACAACAAAUUAUGCAAUGCAUCAUAUUCGUGAAUUCUAAUGCCAUAUAAACAUGGUAUCCAUGAUGCAUGAGCAUGCUUAAAAGUUUGAUUGCUUAAAAAAAGAAAGAGUUAUGUUCUACUCACCUCUGGCUAACUCUGGAACAGCUAACUCACUGUUGAUCACCUCGGUUCCUCAAGUCCGAUCCUACACAGGUGGACUCAAAUGAGGGACCAAACAUACUCUAACAUGACUCUAAACAUCUCCCCAAAAACCCCCCAAAACAUCAUAAAACAUGCACACAAAACAAGCAAAGGAAGGCUAGGCAGGAGACUUUCGGCGGCAGCUUCGGCGGCCGAAAGCCUUCACAGACUCGAAAGUCACCCACCUUCGGGGGCAGGUUUGGUGGCCGAAACUCCCCUCCAGAGUCGAAAGUCUAACUUUCAGGGGCGAGUUUAGGCGGUCAAAACUGCCUCCUCUAGCAGGUUCGGCGGCCGAACUUGGGUUCUCCAGGACGACAGAACCCGAUUUCGCCUCAUGUAUUCAGCCAUCCAAACCUAACCAACACCCAUCCAACUAUUCUAAAGCAUGCAUAAAUACAUAUUCGAGCUUAUAGGGGCUUAAAACUAGCCUAUACCCCCAACAAACAUCAACAUAGCAUCACAUUUAACAUUAAACUAACAUAAACCCUAACAUUUAGAUCUACUCUAAACAUGCUUUAAACACCCUUAAAACCUCCUAAAACUUACUUAAAACAUAAAAAGGUAUAGAUCUACACUUACCUCUUGAAGAUCGAGAGGAGAGGUGAUCCAAACUUGGAGAUUGGGAGAAAUCGAGUUCUGGGGGUCUCCAAGCUUCAAAACUUUGAUCUUAGCUUAAAAUCUUCAAAACAAAGGUAAAAACACAUCAAGACUUAAAGGAAAUGAAGGAAAACACAAAAUCAACCAAAGGAGGGCGAAAUCUCACCUAUGCCCGAAAAUAAAGAGAGAAAACUUGUCCAUUUUCGGAUAAUGGGCCUUUUAUAGGUGGCUGGCCAAACCACCUUCAGGGGCCAAAGGUGCUUCCACAAGAGCCCAAUGUUCGGCGGUCGAACCUGGCUUUUCCCUCCUUGGUCUUUUCUUUCAAAACUCAAUUUCUUUCUUCAUUAAAACCAUAAAAAUAUAUAAAAACAUUUUAGAAAACCUUUAUUUUACCCUUCUAGAAGGCUCCGACAUCCGAGAAUUUCGGAUUCCAACAGAGAUUCCGCUGGAAGGUAGGAAUUCCGAUGCCGGAGUCUAGCCGGGUAUUUUAAACUCACUCUUGGAUCAGGCCCAGUUUCCUAUCGUCUUUCCUCACUCGAAAUGGCCGAAAACCCUACAGUUGCUGACAAUACCAUUACCAAUGAGGGGGUCAUUAUUUCCUCUAUCCCAAAUAACCGAGAGAACAUGCAUCCAAUGAUCAAUAAAACAGACCUUAAUAAUUUGAAUAAUGAGCAAAUAAUCCAGUAUAUCUAAAGGUUGCAGGCCACUCUCGGGCAGUAUAAGACCCAAGAAGAGGCGUCUAAGAUGGACUCUGAAAGAAGAGAUGAGACUUUCGUAAACACCCCCCAAGCCAAGACAGAAGCACCUAAAAUGCGGCAUAAAGGUAAGUGUGAAUCUGAAGAUAAAUCAAAUGAGGUUUCAAAAGAAGUGAAUUGGAAGCUAGUACGAGCCAUACAAAGAUAUUAAAGAAAACAAGAAGAGGAUUAUAGUUUGGAUGGGGUCUCGCCUCUUUCGGAAAAAAUACUAGUGAAAACUUUUCCCGCUAAGUUUAAGUUGUCCUAUUUGGAUAAGUAUUACGGGACAGCAGACCCUUGAAGCCAUCUAGCCAUUUUCAGGAUGACCCUGGAGUUUCAAGAUUUAAAUAAUUGUGUUAUGCCGAAUGUUCCUGUCGACAUUCGCAGAUUUCUGAAACUUAUUAAUAAGUAUAAAAAUAAAAAAUUGAUGGAUCUCGCGAAGUGGCAAAAGAGGUGAUUGAAACUAUAGAUGAUGUGAACUUAUCAACCACUUAUGAAAUGAUCGACAGAGAUCUAAUGAAGGAGUACAAGAGUUUCAAAACUACCAUUCAAGCUACACCCAAAAGAAAUGGCAGUUUGGUGCAUUGGACCUUGUUAAUAUAAGAAGUUGAAAAAUAUCUCAAAUGACAAUUAAGCUCAUGCCACUUCUAUAUAUAUAGAAAGCAAUGCCAAAGGACUUCAUGCAUCAUUAGAUUCAUCAGUGAUCAUAAGCAUCACCAGAAACUCACUGUGUAUCUUUCUUUUUUCAAAAACUAAAAAUGACACAAUGGGGCAAAUUAGAGAUACAUUUUUGGAUCGAUGCUCCUGCAGAUCAGUUUCAUGAUGUCUUCAGUUCCCGACCAUACCUUAUACCCAAUAUGUCCCCUCACAAAAUUCUUGGUGUUGAUCUUCUUGAAGGUGAAUGGGGUAAGGAAGGCGCUAUUAUCUGCUGGAAAUAUUUCUAUGGUAAGCGUUUAAUCUUUUUCAAUUGUAAUUUUCUUUUUUAAAAAGAAAAAUUAUUAAUCAAGUAUAAAAAUGAAAAACAGGUGGGUCUGUUCAAGUGGCUAAGGAAGUAAUUGAAAUCAUAGAUAAUGUGAAUUUGUUAACCGUCUACAAAGUGAUCGAAGGAGAUGUGUUGAAGGAAUAUAAGAGUUUCAAGUUGACCGUUCAAGCUACACCUAAAGGAGAGAGCAGUGUGGUUCAUUGGACCUUAGAAUAUGAAAAGAUCCAUGAGAAUAUACGAGAUCCUUACUCCUUGCUAGAGUUUAUUGUCCAAUUUAGUAAGGAUGUUUCUGCUCAUCUCGUGAAAUGUCCGAAGAAAUAAUCAUGAACACGUUAUGCUUUAAUAUGUGAUUUGCAUAAUAAUUAAAUAAGUGCUCUAUAAUGAAGCACCAAUGACAAACAUAUUUGUGUAUGAACUUAUAUCUACAAUGUAUUACAUCUUAAAACUAUGUUUGUGUUUUUUUUAAUGAUUACGCUUCCUUUAUUAAUAUCUAUCUAAAUUUUUAAUGUCCGAUUGAUGUUGAUUCAUCUUGAUUUAAAUCUAUUUUUUAAAUUUUUUAUUAUAAAAAAUUAAAAAUUCAAAGCGAACUCUAACAACUUAAAAUUUAACAUAGAAUGAAAAAUACUCAUGAAAACUUAUCGACAUAAAUUAUGAUAUUCAUAUCUAGAAAUCUCUUCACCGGCUGUUUUCUCUGUUUCAAACAAUGAUUAGUAGCAUCAAAUCUAAUUUUCCUAGAAUUUUCAAUCAAUUUUAAGUUUAUCAAGAUGUAUUGAAAAAUAAUUAAGUACGAUACGUAAAAUUAGAAGACUAUGAUCUUAUGAAGGCACACUGAUAUAUAUCAUAAUUUAGAGGAUGUAGCCUUUGUUUGUUUAUAAAGAAUAAAAUUUUUAAAAAUAUUUGAUAUGAAAAAUAUUUUUUAAGAAUAAAAAUAAUUUUUAAGAAAUUUUUAUUUAUUAUUUAUAUUAAUAUAAAAAAAUAAAAAUAUGCAGCAAUCGCACAGAUAUAUAUAUAUAUAUUGUUUAAAAUAAAAGAAGAAAAUAUAAAUUUAUUUUUAUUAGAAUGAGAUAUAUAAUUAUUUAAGGCAUUAUAACAUUUUCCAUCCCAUAACACAAACCCUAAUUGAAAUCACUCACAAUAGUCAAUGCUUCAUAAUUGAGUAGGAAAGAUCUCUAAACAUAUAUAUAUAUAUAUAUAUAUGUAUAUAUAUUUAUAUAUGGCAACUAAGCUCAUGCAACUUCUAUAUAAGGAAAGCAAUGCCAAAGCAGAAACUCUCUCUCCACGUCUCCUUUUUCUUGAAAAGCAAAAAUGACUAUUGGGCAAAUUGGAGGCAGAUGUUGAGAUCAAUGCUCCAGCAGAUCAUUUCACGAUGUCUUUAGUUGCAGACCACACAUGUAUUCAAUAUUAGUCCCAAUAAAAUUGAUGGUUGUGAUCUCCAUGAAGGUGAAUGGGUAAGGAAUGCACCGUCGUUUGCUGGAGUUAUUUUCAUGAUAAGCCUUAAAUCUUCAAUUGAAACUUUCUUUAGCUUUUAUUUUAAUUUUUUUGUAAUUUUUAAAAAUUAUUAAUUAAGUAUUAAAAUGAAAAAUAAAUAGAUCUCGUAAAGUAGCUAAAGAGAUAAUUGAAGCCAUAAAUGAUGUGAACUUGUCAACCACCUUCAAAGUGAUUGAAGGAGAUCUAUUGAAGGAGUACAAAAGUUUCAAGUUGAUCAUUAAGCUACACCCAAGGGUGAGGGAAGUUUGAUGCAUUGGACUUUGAAAUAUGAAAAAAUCCAUGAGAAUAUACCAAAUCCUAAUACAUUAUUGGAACUACUUAUCCACUUAAGUAAAGAUAUUUCUGCUUAUCUCGUGGAAUGUCAAAAAGAAAUGAUCAUAGAUUAUGUUAUGUCAUAACGCGUGAUAUUUCUUUUAAUAAUUAAAUAAGUGCUCUAUAAUGAAGCACAAGUGGCUGGGACAUUUUGUUGCAGAAAAACUUGCCUAAAAUCUAUGUCAUGUGUUUGUGUUACUCUAUUAUUAUAUGUCUUUUAAUUUGAUAAAAUUAAAAAAUAGAGAUUAAAUCAUUUACUUUUAAAAAAAAAAUAAUUUAACAGCAUAAAGUAAGGAUUAAACUGUUAAUUUUAAAAUUUUAUGCGGUUAUAUAUUAAUUUUGACCUAAUUAUUUUAUAACAAGAAUUUGCAAUGGUCUCAUCCGUAGGAAAUUUGUAAUUAAUAUAUUUUAUUUAUUUUUAUAUAUUUAUUGUGUGUUGAGUAUAUUAUAAAAGGGUCCAACAUGCAAGUAAUAAUUCAAAAUUUGAAAAAUGUGAUCUAUUAUUUUGUCCCAAUUUGCAUGCAUAGAAGAUUUACUCCAAACGGAAAUAAGAUUUUUUUCCAUGGAAUUUUUUUUUUUUUUUUACAUUGCAGAGAAAAAAAUUACAAUUAAACAAUUAGGCGUUUCAGAGAAUAGGCCUAUUAAUCUGAAGGCAAUAUUUCUCAAAAACACAAAUUUGCAACAAUAUCAGUAAAAUUGUUUACGAACAUAGUGGUGUUACAUAACAUUAGUCCAAAAAAAGUUAUGAGUUGUCACAAUAGAAUAGGAAUCACGUGAUAAAAUUUAACAAGUAAAAAACAUUGUCUCACUACAGGAGGAAACCCGGAUACUUUAACACGCAGACUAUCGUCAAUACUCGCCCUCCUAGGAUAGGCCGAGUCUUGACAGAGUUACUGUUAUUAGGCACAUUUCUACUUUGUCAGAGAUCGUGGGAUUACUAAUCUAAUUAGCUGACGUUGUUCAUUAUUGAGCAGUCAGCCACAUUAUUGCCGAAUUUUCAGAAAACACUAUAUUUAUCUUCAUCCCUUACAGUAUAAAAUGAGAACGAUUUCAGAGAAAAUGUAUGCUAUUUCUAAUACUAUUCAAACUCUAAAUAAUCAUUCGCAUUCUCUUUGUUCUUCUAAACACUGAUUUCAGCAUCACAUAGACUGUCGUGGGCACCCACCACCACCUCACGUUUUCUCUCUUGUAGGUUCUGGCCAAUUACAGCUCAGUUCCAUUUCGACUACGUUAUCAAUCCAAUCUUAGCAACAUCAUUUGGUUCCAUUGUCGAGAAAGAUCCAUUAAACUCACUCCUGGAUUAGGCCCAAUUUCCUAUCGUCUUUCCUCACUCGAAAUGGCCGGAAACCCUACAGUUGCUGACAAUACCAUUACCAAUGAGGGGCUCAUCAUUUCCUCUAUCCCAAAUAACCGAGAGAACAUGCAUCCAGUGAUCAAUGAAGCGGACCUUAAUAAUUUGAAUAAUGAGCAGAUAAUCCAGUGUAUCUAAAGGUUGCAGGCCACUCUCGGGCAGUAUAAGACCUAAGAAGAGGCGUCUAAGAUGGACUCUGAAAGAAGAGAUGAGACUUCCGUAAACACCCCCAAAGCCAAGACGAAAGCACCUAAAAUGCGGCAUAAAGGUGUAACGAUCCGAAAACCGGACCGCUACCGGCGCUAGGAUCCAGAUCGACUUAAGGUCGCCGGAACCCGUAGCAAGCCUAACAUACAUCCUGUAUACCUGCUAAAAUCCCAUACAUGAUCAUACAUUUUCAUAAAAACUUUAAAUUUUUCAUAUACCAAGCUUAACCUGUGCAUGCAUCAUAACUGUAUACAUAAAACCCCUUACUGGAGCCCUCAUCAAAUGCUCCAGUUGGGUCAACAUCUCAUACAUCAAGCUUGGUUCAACAUAUAUCAUCAUUAAAAACAUUUCAUAAAGAUCAUAUACCAAAAGGGAUUAACCAUACAUUAGGGCCAAGCACAAUACUAAUCCGCAUUACAUUACUGAAUAAUACCUUACAUUACAUUACAUGUCAUUUCAUGUCCACUACUAAUCUAUUACAUGACAUAGCCAUUACCCUUGCUGACUUCCUGCUAUCUCUGACCCUGCAAACCUGGGGGUUAGGGGAAAAGGGUGAGCUACAAAAGCCCAGUGAGUAGAACAGUAAAACACAAUUUAAUAAAACACAUGCUUUCAUGAAAUGCGUCACAACUCAAACAAUUCACAACAAGGAUGGACUUGUCACCAAUAACCCUCUACAUAAUCCAAUGUGCCCGGCCCUCGACGGGGCUCCCUAGGACUUCCUCGUAAACAUAAUAUAAUGCCAGGACGCAUGACAUGGGCAGCCCUGGACUUUCUUACAUACCAUAUCAUAUCAUAUUGAGGGCUAGUGGGUCAUCCAAUAUCUAUCCACAACAACAACAAAUUAUGCAAUGCAUCAUAUUCGUGAAUUCUAAUGCCACAACCUAAUACAUAAACAUAGUAUCCAUGAUGCAUGAGCAUGCUUAAAAUUUUGAUUGCUUAAAAAAAGAAAGAGUUAUGUUCUACUCACCUCUGGCUGACUCUGGAACAGCUAACUCACUGUUGAUCACCUCGGUUCCUCAAGUCCGAUCCUACACAGGUGGACUCAAAUGAGGGACCAAACAUACUCUAACAUGACUCUAAACAUCUCCCCAAAAACCCCCUAAAACAUCAUAAAACAUGCACACAAAACAAGCAAAGGAAGGCUGAGCAGGGGACUUUCGACGGCAGGUUCGGCGGCCGAAGGUCCCUACAGAGCCGAAAGUCAGGCACUUUCGGGGGCAGGGUUCGGCGGCCGAAAGCCUUCACAGACUUGAAAGUCACCCACCUUCGGGGGCAGGUUCGGUGGCCGAAACUCCCCUCCAGAGUCGAAAGUCCAACUUUCAGGGGCGAGUUUAGGCGGCCAAAACUGCCUCCUCUGGCAGGUUCGGCGGCCAAACCUUGCUUCGGCGGCCGAACCUGGGUUCUCCAGGACGACAGAACCCGAUUUCGCCUCAUGUAUUCAGCCAUCCAAACCUCACCAACACCCAUCCAACUAUUCUAAAGCAUGCAUAAAUACAUAUUCAAGCUUAUAGGGGCUUAAAACUAGCCUAUACCCCCAACAAACAUCAACAUAGCAUCACAUUUAACAUUAAACUAACAUAAACCCUAACAUUUAGAUCUAAUCUAAACAUGCAUUAAACACCCUUAAAACCUCCUAAAACUUACUUAAAAUAUAAAAAGGUAUAGAUCUACACUUACCUCUUGAAGAUCGAGAUGAGAGGUGAUCCAAACUUGGAGAUUGGGAGAAAUCGAGCUCUGGGGGUCUCCAAGCUUCAAAACUUUGAUCGUAGCUUAAAAUCUUCAAAACAAAGGUAAAAACUCAUCAAGACUUGAAGGAAAUGAAGGAAAAUACAAAAUCAACCAAAGGAGGGCGAAAUCUCACCUAUGCCCGAAAAUAGAGAGAGAAAACUCAUCCAUUUUCGGAUAAGGGGCCUUUUAUAGGUGGCUGGCCAUACCACCUUCAGGGUCCAAAGGUGCUUCCACAAGAGCCCAAUGUUCGGCGGCCAAACAUGAGGUUCGGCGGCCGAACCUGAGGUUCGGCGGCCGAACCUGGCUUUUCCCUCCUUGGUCUUUUCUUUCAAAACUCAAUUUCUUUCUUCAUUAAAAUCAUAAAAAUAUAUAAAAACAUUUUAGAAAACCUUUAUUUUCCCCUUUUAGAAGGCUCCGACAUCCGAGAAUUUUGGAUUUCAAUGGAGAUUCCGCCAGAAGGUAGGAAUUCCGAUGCCGGGGUCUAGCCGGGUAUUUUAAACUCACUCCUGAAUCAGGCCCAGUUUCCUAUCAUCUUUCCUCACUCGAAAUGGCCGAAAACCCUACAGUUGCUGACAAUACCAUUACCAAUGAGGGGGUCAUCAUUUCCUCUAUCCCAAAUAACCGAGAGAACAUGCAUCUAGUGAUCAAUGAAGCAGACCUUAAUAAUUUGAAUAAUGAGCAAAUAAUCCAGUAUAUCUAAAGGUUGCAGGCCACUCUCGGGCAGUAUAAGACCCAAGAAGAGGCGUCUAAGAUGGACUCUGAAAGAAGAGAUGAGACUUUCGUAAACACCCCCAAAGCCAAGACAGAAGCACCUAAAAUGCGGCAUAAAGGUAAGUGUGAAUCUGAGGAUAAAUCAGAUGAGGUUUCAAAAGAAGUGAAUUGGAAGUUAGUACGAGCCAUACAAAGAUAUUAAAGAAAACAAGAAGAGGAUUAUAGUUUGGAUGGGGUCUCGCCUCUUUCGGAAAAAAUACUGGCGAAAACUUUUCCUGCUAAGUUCAAGUUGUCCUAUUUGGAUAAGUAUUAUGGGACGGAAGACCCUUGAAGCCAUCUAGCCAUUUUCAGGACGACCCUGGAGUUUCAAGAUUUAAAUAAUUUUGUGUUAUGCCGAAUGUUCGUGUCGACAUUCGCAGAUUUUUGAAACUUAUUAAUAAGUAUAAAAAUAAAAAAUUGAUUGAUCUCGCAAAGUGGCAAAAGAGGUGAGUGAAACUAUAGAUGAUGUGAACUUAUCAACCACUUAUGAAAUGAUCGUCAGAGAUCUAAUGAAGGAGUACAAGAGUUUCAAAGCUACCGUUCAAGCUACACCCAAAAGAAAUGGCAGUUUGGUGCAUUGGACCUUGUUAAUAUAAGAAGUUGAAUGAAAAUAUAUCAGAUCUCCAUACAUUAAUGGAAUUUCUUAUCCAUUGCAGUAAGGAUAUUUCUGCUCAUCUCGUGGAAUGCCGGAAGAAAUGAUCAUGGAAUAUGAUCAUCACAUAUUCAUAUCUAAGAAUCUCUUUGCUGUUUUUUCAGACAAUAAAUAAUCAAUUAGUAGCAUCUAUCGAUCUAGCUAAUUUUUUGAAAGUUUUCCAUCAAUUUUAAAUUUAUCAAUAUGUGUUGAUAAUUAAUUAUGAUACAUAAAAUCAGAGACCAUGAUUUUAUUCAUACAUAUUGUAAUAGACAUCAUAAUUUGGAGGCGGGAUUUAGAUUCUAUUUAUUUAUAAAAAAUAAAUUAUUGUCUUUAAAAAUAAUUUAAUAUUUUUAUCAGUAAAAUAAUUUUUAUCAAUCAUUUCUUUUGAGUAUUCUAUAAACAUAAAAAAAAAUUGAAAGAUAUUUUAGCCGCGUAAUUUCCUCUGUGAAAUUCAUUCAAGCUAGAAGUAGCAUAGCACUUUUAGAUUAUAAUAUAUAUUCACAUUUUCACUUAUUAAUUAUAUAUCUAUAUAAAUUAAAUAUGGGAUUUGCUAUAAUUUAAAAUAAUAUAUUAUUUAUUUAUGUAUCAUAUUUAUAUAUUAAAAUUUCUAUGGAAUUUUUCAUCAAAUAAUGCUCAACUCCUCUAUGUGUUAUGGCACCCUCUUCGAAUAGCUAGAAAUACCUAAUCUUAUUUAAAAAAUAAAUAUUUUAUUUAAACUUUAAUAUAAAUAUUUUAUUUAAUUAUUAAGAUUAACUCGCUUUCAUAUAUGAAUUUAAAUAAUUUAAUUAAAUUUUAACUAAAUUUUAAAAUAAAUUUAACAUUAAAAAUGAAAUAAAAUUAUCUUAUUAUUUCUAUUUGUGAUAAUUGUUUUAUCUCACUAAACUUAAAUAGAGUUAGAGAUGUAUCGUAUGAAAAAACUUGCUUAAACGUUGAGUUUCAAUUAGAUUUUUUUAAAUAAUUUUAUUUAGUUAAAGAACUCUAUUUAAUUACCAAUAAAAUAUAUGGAAGGAUUUGAGAUUUAGGUAAAGAAAUAUUAUAAUUCAAGAAUUAAACUAUUUGAUUUAUAAAUAAAAAAAAUAUUUUUAUUAAUUAAUUUAAGGACUGAAAAGUUACUUUAUUUAAACCAUACAAUAAAUAUUUGCCCAACUUUACAUAAUCUUAUCACAAAAAAAAAAAAAAAAAAUCAAUAAUUUUAAAACACUUUUUUACAAAUAUCGUAAGAGAUUAAAAGAAAUCUUAUCACUCAUUAUUAUUGCUCCUUUUCUUUAAAUUUUUAUUAUACUCAAAAUAUAAAGUAUAUUUAUAAAUUUUUUAUAAAUAAUUAUCAUAUAAUAAUAUCCAGAAAAAAAUAUCACAAAAAACAUUUCCCCCAAACAUUUGAAAAUACACUUUCACAAAUAUUGUCCCCGAUUAAGGAAUCCCUCUAUAUAUUUAAUUAUUUUUAUGAUUUAAUUAUUCAUAUAUUAACUUUAUUUUGAAUAUAUUUUUAUUUAUAUUUUUAUUGAAAUAUUGAAAUAUUGAAAUAUUUAUUGAUAACCUCCAGAUCUUUCCUAGCCCAGGAAUAAGGUCGGGUCCAAACGAAGGCCACAGGUCCAAAGCCCAUCAGAUCAUACGCUCGAGAGGCGGCUCGACUUCCGGCAACCCAGGAUGAUCCGGAUCAGAUAUGAGCACAAGCCCCAUAAGGGAGUAGGCUCACUCACUCACCAGCUCUACCCGCAUGCUCUCUGGAGAGCAUUAAAUGGCCGUUACGCAUGGAGCAGGUGCCUGACACGCCCGUACGUACGGGCCUGAGUGACAAGGACAGGAAGCACUAUAUAUCGGGGGGUCUUCUCUUGCAAGGGGGAUCAUCUUCUUUCUUUCCUCCUGCCUAGACUCCAUUUUUAUUUUCUCUCUGCAACUCUUACCUGGAUAUACUAUUCUUAUUCAUGAAACCUGACUUGAACGUCGGAGGGUCUCCGCCGGGGCAUCCCCGGUAGACCCCUGACUGUCUCCCAUUAUUUUGCCGGUCCUUUCAUCAAAUAGAACAUGGAGACCCAUUUGAUAGACCCAUCAGGGAGCCCAAAAAGGAAUCAGAUCCAGAUACCAGGGGACGAGGGAGAACCAGAUCUAUCAAAUAGAGAGCCCAGGGAGAGUCAGAGUUAUCAAAUGGCGCCAUCUAUGGGAACGAAGGAGAUCUUUUCGUCACCGGAGUUCCUAAAUCCACCCAUUGAGAUCCACAUGGAGGUAUGAAAGUUUAUACGAAAAGAAAGCUGGAGAUUUAUAAUAACCCAGCUGAAUAGCCUAGCUGAAAAGAAAGACCCAGCUGGUUCAAGAAUAUCUUGACAGUCUUUUAAUCUUCAUUUUCCUGCCCUCGUUGUUUAUUUUAACAUUUAUUAAAUUUUAUUACUACUAACUUUUUCUUUGAGAUCUGACGAGGUGAAACUUCAGAUCGAAAUGCUUGUUUAUGAAUAUAGAUUUUAAUUUUUUCUAUAAAAAGAAAAAAGAAUCAAUGAUAUAUAUAUUUUGUGAGUUGGCUGUGUAUAUAUUGCCGAGGAGAAGGGGCAGAUCGGCUGUAAAAUCCCAGUUUAGCAAGUUAGAAAGAAGAUUAAUAAAUAAAAAAUAGGCGAGGUAGGACUAACAUUUCAGGUCGGAUGGGCAUGAGGUCGGAAGGGACACGAUUCAGGGCCAUCCAACUUGGAUGCAGAGCAGCGCCCCUCAAGUAUCGGGCAAUCUGGAGACAAUCGAAAAUGAUCAAAUACCCAGGCAGGUCAAAGUGGAUAAGCUCGGACUCGGUAUGUCGUCCAGCUCGAAGACAAGGUGAACUGAGAUACCCAGGUCGGCAUGGUCGGCAUUAGUCCGUCUGACUGUCGAGAGAACGACAGACACGACAGACUGAUCAAGCACCACUAGUAGGACCGUUAAUAGUUUCGCUGGUCGGAGUAGCAGAACUGAAAAGAGCUCGAUUAAUCCAAUAAUCACAGUAUUGUGAGUGAAGGCACGUCGGCUUGAGAAGGAAUAACUGGUGGAAUUUCACUAAAAUCAAAAACAUCGUUAAGAUAUUACACGUUGAAGUCGGACCCGUGCGCGAAAUUAGAUCCGUACUCGAGAUCGUGCUCGAGAUCGGAGCCCUGUUUGAGGAAAAGAACAUAGUAAAAUUGCCUGGUUACAGAGGGGAAAGCGUGAGUGGAGAUGCUUUCAACAAGAAGUCAAGAAUUCUUAACCCGCACAGGAUGGUCAGGGCUCACGGCCAAUCAGCAACAACUUUUCUUUUUUCUUCUUUUUCAUCAUUGUUUGGAAAAUCUAUUGUUUGAAAGAGUGAAAAUUGGGAAUCUACCGCUUUGGGUUCACGAUGACAGUGACCUCAUGCCCAAUGAACGGCGUCGGGACGGCUGGCGCUGGAAGGUGACAAUCCAAUGUCGCGUCCAGUCAUUGGUAUCACCGGCGAAGCCCGAAGCCAUGCGUCGUAACAGCCGGGAAAGCUCGGUUGUCUCAAGGACGGGGGAAGACAACUACGGGAGAUCGCGAGGUCUCUUGCGAUGCCUUCGACUUCAUACGCGCCGGCAGCGGAAAGGAAAGCAGGCGAAGCGCAAAUGUUGCUCUGUCAUUGGCAAUCCGGGCUGGCGACAGCAGCGGGUCGGCUGUGCAGGCACUUGGGUGGAGAUCGGCAUCUGCUAAGGAAGAAGGAAAGAGAAGAGACACUUGAAAAAGUCAACAUGGGCAAUUGCUUUGGGUCUCCCUCUAGCUCCUCUUUCACCACCACCAAUCCUCUCACCCCAGGGUCAUCAAAUAACACCACUACCACCAGCAAUUUCUCAGCCUCAAGCAGCAGUGCAGGUAAGAGUCAAUUCUCUGCUGCGGUAAGUGAAGUGAAUGAUAAGCCAAAUCCAAACGGCCAAAUUUUGGAAGCACCAAACUUGAAGGAGUUCACCUUUGCUGAUUGGAUGAGUGCCACAAAGAAUUUCAAGCCAGACACUUUGUGGGGUCAAGGUGGUUUUGGUAAAGUUUACAAAGGAUGAAUAGAUGAAAAGACUUUUACACCCUCCAAAACUGGCAUUGGAAUGGUGGUUGCUAUCAAGAAAUUAAACUAAGAAAGUAUGCAAGGGCUUCAAGAGUGGCAGGUAAUGAUUUUUAAUUUCAGUUAUACUAUUAUCCUUAAAAAGAAAAAGGAAAAUAUUAAAAAUAACAAUUAAUUAUCCUGCUUAUAGAGAGACCGUCAUAAUUUGCCAUCUAGAAUAAUUUACAUUCAAUGUCAUUAUAAAUGAUUUUCUAAAACUAGCGUACCCACAAUUCACUCCUACUGCAAGCAAUUAAUUACUAUCAAUCAUUACAACUGGAUCAAAAUCGAGAGUUUUUUGCACUGCUUUCACUAUAUUUCUCGUUUUGCAGUUAUUAUUAAUUACAGAAUUAUAAAGUGUAAAUAAUACUUAUACUUUUCACAAUAUUUUACAUGUUCAAGCAUAGUAUUUUAUAAAUUGUUCAUCUGAAGUAUGAAACUAAGUAACAUGUGCGACAUAUUAUUUAUUGAUGAAUAUUAUUGAAUUAACAAUGAGUCUUCUCGUUAUAUACGUUCUGUGCAAGCUCUUAUUUUGCAGAAAAAUUCAGAAAAAAGAGUAAGGCCAAAAAGCCUUAAUCUUACGCAAGACCUCAGUGAGGUAGGUGGCUGGGCUCCCAAAAGGCCCCCGGCACCACAAAACCGGCUGAGAUGAUGAAGCGACAGUAAGGCCAAUGAGCCUGAAUCCCAUGCAAGGCUAAAGAGCCUGGAAGCGACAGUAAGGCCAAUGAGCCUGAAUCCCAUGCAAGGCUAAAGAGCCUGGAAGCUACAGUAAGGCCAAAGAGCCCGAAUCUUGUGAAAAACCUCAAGAAGGUAUAAGGCCGGCGGAUCUCAAAGAUCUCCCGGAGUAAAAACGGCCGGUGAGGAUCUUAAAAGACCUCCCGGAGCAUGAAGACCAGGAUCCCCUAGAACUCUCGGGAAAACAAAGAAGACCAGGAUCCCCUAGAACUCCCGGGUAAACAAAGAAGACCGGGAUCCCCUAGAACUCCCGGGAAAACAAAGAAGACCGGAAUCCCCAGAACUCCCGGGAAAACAAAACAAAGAUCACAGCGGAUUCAAUAGAAGACCUCAAUGAGGUCCUGGCAAAAGAAGACCUCACUGAGGUCCUGGCAAAAGAAGACCUCACUGAGGUCCUGGCAAAGAAGACCUCACUGAGGUCCUGGCAAAAGAAGACCUCACUGAGGUCCUGGCAUGAGAAGACCUCAAUGAGGUCCUGGCAAAGAAGACCUCAAUGAGGUCCUGGCAAAAGAAGACCUCACUGAGGUCCUGGCAAAAGAAGACCUCACUGAGAAGACCUCAAUGAGGUCCAGGCAAAAGAAGACCUCACUGAGAAGACCUUAAUGAGGUCCUGACAAAAGAAGACCUUAAUGAGGUCCUGGCAAAGAAGACCUCAAUGAGGUCCUGGCAAAAGAAGACCUCAAUGAGGUCCAGGCAAAAGAAGACCUCACUGAGAAGACCUCAAUGAGGUCCUGGCAAAAGAAGACCUCAAUGAGGUCCAUGCAAAAGAAGACCUCACUGAGAAGACCUCAAUGAGGUCCUAGCAAAAGAAGACCUCACUGAGGUCCUGGCAUGAGAAGACCUCAAUGAGGUCCUGGCAAAGAAGACCUCACUGAGAAGACCUCAAUAAGGUCCUAGCAAAGAAGACCUCAAUGAGGUCCUAGCAAAAGAAGACCUCAAUGAGGUCCAGGCAAAAGAAGACCUCACUAAGAAGACCUCAAUGAGGUCCUGGCAAAAGAAGACCUCACUGAGAAGACCUCAAUAAGGCAGAAGACCUCAGAAGACCUCACUGAGGCAGAAGACCUCACUGAGGCAGAAGACCUCAAUGAGGCAGCAGACCUCAGAANNNNNNNNNNNNNNNNNNNNNNNNNNNNNNNNNNNNNNNNNNNNNNNNNNNNNNNNNNNNNNNNNNNNNNNNNNNNNNNNNNNNNNNNNNNNNNNNNNNNNNNNNNNNNNNNNNNNNNNNNNNNNNNNNNNNNNNNNNNNNNNNNNNNNNNNNNNNNNNGUCCUGGCAAAAGAAGACCUCACUGAGGUCCUGGCAUGAGAAGACCUCAAUGAGGUCCUGGCAAAGAAGACCUCAAUGAGGUCCAGGCAAAAGAAGACCUCACUGAGAAGACCUCAAUGAGGUCCUGGCAAAAGAAGACCUCAAUAAGGUCCUGGCAAAAGAAGACCUCACUGAGGUCCUGGCAUGAGAAGACCUCAAUGAGGUCCUGGCAAAAGAAGACCUCACUGAGGUCCUGGCAUGAGAAGACCUCAAUGAGGUCCUAGCAAAGAAGACCUCAAUGAGGUCCAGGCAAAAGAAGACCUCACUGAGAAGACCUCAAUGAGGUCCUGGUAAAAGAAAACCUCACUGAGAAGACCUCAAUGAGGUCCUGGCAAAAGAAGACCUCAAUGAGGCAGAAGACCUCAGAAGACCUCACUGAGGCAGAAGACCUCACUGAGGCAGAAGACCUCACUGAGGCAGAAGACCUCACUGAGGCAGAAGAUCUCACUGAGGCAGAAGACCUCAAUGAGGCAGAAGACCUCACUGAGGCAGAAGACCUCAAUGAGGCAGAAGACCUCAGAAGACCUCACUGAGGCAGAAGACCUCACUGAGGCAGAAGACCUCACUGAGGCAGAAGACCUCAAUGAGGCAGAAGACCUCAAUGAGGCAGAAGACCUCACUGAGGUAGAAGACCUCAGAAGACCUCAAUGGGGCAGAAGACCUCACUAAGGCAGAAGACCUCACUGAGGCAGAAGACCUCACUGAGAGGUAGAAGACCUCACUGAGGUAGAAGACCGCACUGAGGUAGAAGACCGGCGAAGAUCUCAAAGAUCUCCCGGAGCAAAAAUGGCCGGAAUCCCCAAGAUCAUCCGGUGCUACAAGCAAAAACAACUCAUAAGAACAUAGUUCUGAUCUCACAUAAAAGAUUGGGGCACGGGACCAUAAAUGAAAAGCUAAACUCCGACCUCCCAAAGGAGCUCGAGUCAUCAGGUAGAGAGACUUUAAUCUCACAUAACAGCCAAAAGUGUCAAAACACCAUGACGAUCUCAAGAAAAUGAGCUAGGUACUGGUAAACACAAUAGGCAGCCCGAAUAUGGCUCAACAAGAGAGUAAGAAAUUAAGUUCGACUUCACAAAAGAGCUCGGGGCACCAAAGUAAAGAAAGUGAAAUUCCAAACUUCAGAGCUCGCGAUAUAGACACCAUCACAGGCUAUAGGCACAAAAGCCUAAGCGAAAAGCAAAGAACCGAGCUCCCAGCUCAGAUGAACUCGCAACAGGAAAACACUCAAGUAGAAUAAAGCUAAAUACAGAAGAAAUAACAGAGAACCGAGCUCCCUCUACGAAAAGGCCCCCAAAUGCAGGAACGCAUAAAAGGAUAAACGAAGGCGAAGGACCAUGCUCACAUCUCGGAUUAACUCACAAUAAAUAGACAUUCAGCAAGAAUAACCCAGGAAGAGGAAAACAACAAAAGAAUGAGUACUCUAUCCCAGUGGAGCUCACAACUCAAACCACACCGACUACCAGAAAGUUAUCUCAAGAGGAACAAGGUAUUAUAUUCCUGAGCUCGCAACAAUGACGAGAUCGUGAGCCAAAAACAGAAAUGCCCUCAUGAGAAUAAGAAAAACUCGCAAGUCAGAAGCUUAACCAGACUCCGAACUCUUAGCCCGGAUCGGUUCGACCAGUAAAGACCCAGUAGAGCCGGCAUGGUCAUUAGUGGAGCCUAAGUAUUUACCCCCUCACCAGUCAUGGAAUAACUGCUGAGGAGGUAAAGGGGCAAUUGAUAACCUCCAUAUCUUUCCUAGCCCAGGAAUAAGGUCGGGUCCAAAAGAAGGCCACAGGUCCAAAGCCCAUCAGAUCAUACGCUCGAAAGGCGGCUCGACUUCACGAGCCUGGGCCGGCAACCCAGGAUGAUCCGGAUCAGAUAUGAGCACAAGCCCCAUAAGGGAGUAGGCCCACUCACUCAUCAGCUCUACCCGCAUGCUCUCUGGAGAGCAUUAAAUGGCCGUUACGCAUGGAGCAGGUGCCUGACACGCCCGUACGUACGGGCCUGAGUGACAAGGAUAGGAAGCACUAUAUAUCGGGGGGUCUUCUCUUGCAAGGGGGAUCAUCUUCUUUCUUUCCUCCUGCCUGGACUCCAUUUUUAUUUUCUCUCUGCAACUCUUGCCUGGAUAUACUAUUCUUAUUCAUGAAACCUGACUUGAACGUCGGAGGGUCUCCGCCGGGGCAUCCCCGGUAGACCCCUGACUGUCUCCCCUUAUUUUGCAGGUCCUUUCAUCAAAUAGAACAUGGAGACCCAUUUGAUAGACCCAUCAGGGAGCCCAAAAAGGAAUCAGAUCCNNNNNNNNNNNNNNNNNNNNNNNNNNNNNNNNNNNNNNNNNNNNNNNNNNNNNNNNNNNNNNNNNNNNNNNNNNNNNNNNNNNNNNNNNNNNNNNNNNNNNNNNNNNNNNNNNNNNNNNNNNNNNNNNNNNNNNNNNNNNNNNNNNNNNNNNNNNNNNNNNNNNNNNNNNNNNNNNNNNNNNNNNNNNNNNNNNNNNNNNNNNNNNNNNNNNNNNNNNNNNNNNNNNNNNNNNNNNNNNNNNNNNNNNNNNNNNNNNNNNNNNNNNNNNNNNNNNNNNNNNNNNNNNNNNNNNNNNNNNNNNNNNNNNNNNNNNNNNNNNNNNNNNNNNNNNNNNNNNNNNNNNNNNNNNNNNNNNNNNNNNNNNNNNNNNNNNNNNNNNNNNNNNNNNNNNNNNNNNNNNNNNNNNNNNNNNNNNNNNNNNNNNNNNNNNNNNNNNNNNNNNNNNNNNNNNNNNNNNNNNNNNNNNNNNNNNNNNNNNNNNNNNNNNNNNNNNNNNNNNNNNCAAAGGAAUCCCUCUAUAUAUUUAAUUAUUUUUAUGAUUUAAUUAUUCAUAUAUUAAAUUUAUUUUGAAUAUAUUUUUAUUUAUAUUUUUAUUGAAAUAUUGAAAUAUUUAUAAUUUCAAAUUAGUUUAUAAGUAUUUAUAUUAUCAUUUUAAUUUAUUUUCUAUUAUUUAACUAUUUAAAUUAUUAAACUUACAUAAAUUAUUAUCAUUCUCUUUUUUAAAUAAUUUUAAAAUUAAUUUUUCAUUGCAAAUGAAAUUUAAUUUAUUAUUUAAUGAAAUGUCAACUAUAUUACAUCUUAUUUUUCCUCUAUCUUCUUGCCUUUUCCUUAACCAAUAUUUUAGGAUACAUUACCUUAAUAAUAAUAAUAAUAAUUUUAAUGAAAGAAAAUUAUUUAAGGCAUUUGCAAUAUUUUUCAUCCCAUAAUACACAUUCUAAUUGAAAUCACUCAAAAUAGUCACAGCUUAAUAAUUGAGUAGGAAAAUAUCUCAAAUGACAAUUAGGCUCAUGCCACUUCUAUAUAUAGAAAGCAAUGCCAAAGGACUUCAUGCAUCAUUAGAUUCAUCAGUGAUCAUAAGCAUCACCAGAAACUCACUCUGUAUCUUUCUUUUUUCAAAAACUAAAAAUGACACUAUGGGGCAAAUUAGAGAUACAUUUUUGGAUUGAUGCGCAGAUCAGUUUCAUGAUGUCUUCAGUUCCCGACCAUACCUUAUACCCAAUAUGUCCCCUCACAAAAUUCUUGGUGUUGAUCUUCUUGAAGGUGAAUGGGGUAAGGAAGGCUCUAUUAUCUGCUGAAAAUAUUUCUAUGGUAAGCGUUUAAUCUUUUUCAAUUGUAAUUUUCUUUUUUUAAAAAAAAAUUAUUAAUCAAGUAUAAAAAUGAAAAACAGAUGGGUCUGUUACCGUGGCUAAGGAUCUAAUUGAAACCAUAGAUAAUGUGCAUUUGUUAACCGUCUUCAAAGUGAUCGAAGGAGAUGUUUUAAAGGAAUAUAAGAGUUUCAAGUUGACCGUUCAAGCUACACCUAAAGGAGAGGGCAGUGUGGUACGUUGGACCUUAGAAUAUGAGAAGAUCCAUGAGAAUAUACGAGAUCCUUACUCCUUGCUAGAGUUUAUUGUCCAAUUUAGUAAGGAUGUUUCUGCUCAUCUCGUGAAAUAUCCGAAGAAAUGAUCAUGAACAUGUUAUGCUUUAAUAUGUGAUUUGCAUAAUAAUUAAAUAAGUGCUCUAUAAUGAAGCACCAAUAAGACACUUAUUUGUGUAUGAACUUAUAUCUACAAUGUAUUACAUCUUAAAACUAUGUUUGUGUUUUUUUUUUAAUGAUUACGCUUCCUUUAUUA